AUCACAAGAGAGAAUUGCCUUGAGGUGUUAUGGCAUGAGAAAGACGAGAAAGCUGCAUUUGUCAACCUUAGCUGCUUGCCGGCAUUUCUGACCUCUUCUUGUCUUCACAAAAUCUCUACGCUCUCCCAAAUUUCAAAACAGAGAAAACCUGCAAUAAACAUUUGUCGGGUUAAGCUGGAUGAGAUGGACCAAUGCCAUAACAUCAACACCAGACUAUCGCAUAGCGUUUGUGGGCAUUUCAUAGAUGAAGAA